GCUGGUGUACGUGAUGACCAGACUUUUUUCCCCAUCAGAGCGACAGUGUUGAUUCCUCAUCACUAGCCAUCUGAUGCACCAGC
rnacentral:snoRNA from 1 species